rfam:Gasterosteus aculeatus cont1.009494, whole genome shotgun sequence.
ACGUUAUCGGGAGCAGUGUCUCCCAUAAUGC